rnacentral:lncRNA from 1 species
GCCUGGUGGCUGUGGGGCCCAGCACAGAGCAGAGGGGACACGAGGGGACACGAGGGGACACGGACUCUCCCCGAGGGGCACCUUCCACCCAGCACCGGGCAGUGCCACUGGGAAACUCCUGUCGCUCAUUGCCUGCAUUUCCCAGGCACUGCAGAGGUUUCUGAGCCCACCUGCACCGCUCUGAGCUGUGCCACUGCCCAGCAGGCCCUGGGGACACGAGGGACACUCCAGGCAGGGCAGUGUGACACUGUGGGUGCACUGGGGACACCGGGGACAGUGGGGACACCAGGGACAUGGGGACACACGGACACAGGGACACACAAACACAGGGACACACAAACACAGGGACACACAGACACAGACACACAGGGACACACAGACACAGGGACACACGGACACAGGGACACAGGGACACAGGGACACAGGGACACAAGGACACAGGGACACAGGGACACAGGGACACAUGGACACAGGGACACAGGGACACAGGGACACAGGGACACAGGGACACACAGACACAGGGACACACGGACACAGGGACACAGGGACACAGGGACACAGGGACAGGCAGCUUGGCCGUCUCAGUGUAAACAUCCCCGGAGGUGGAGCUGGGCAGCCGGGGCUGGUUCUGCUCGGAGCCACCGAGCCCUGCUGGAUUUUCCUCAGCCACAGGAGGCCGAGCCCUGCCCUUGGGACAGCCACAGCAGAUCUGAUAUUUCAAAGAUCCACAGAAUCACAGAGUUAUUUAGGUUGGAACAGACCUCCAGGAUCCCUGAGCCCAAGCUUUGGCUGAUCCUUGGGUUUGAAUGCUUAAAGUUGUGGCAUUACAGGCUGCAGGUCCCUCUCAGUCCUGGGGCACAGAGCAGAGCCCCAGUGCUCUGGGGAGGGGGUGGAGGGGGGCUGGGAUCCAGGUUUGGAGCAUUCCCAUCCCGGGUGAUGCCCUGGGGUGGUGGGGCUCUGUGCCAGGGCAUUUCCAGCCCCAAGCCCUGCAGGUGCAGCCCUGGCUCAGUGAAGCCUCUCUGGGCACUGCACGGGGCUCAGCCCUGGCCCUGUGGCAGCUCCCUCGGUGUGGGGCUGGGCACAGCUGGGCACUGCCAGGCUCUGACCUCCCCCCGAGGCCAGGAUGGGACAAAGCCGUGCCCAAAUGUGGGCAGAGGGUUUUUCCAGGCCUGCUUUUGUCUCUGUUCACGUUCAGAGCCAGGGAACUACAAACAAUCAGGCAAAAUGCACCCGACUCCAACCUGUCACAUAAACCACGAGCUGCUGGGAAUGACAUCCUCCCCUGAAAAGCCACUCCAAGUGGGGAUGAACACUUCCCUUCGUCUGCCAGCCCAGAGCUGUUAUAAAUGCUGGAUUUAUUUGUCCCGAUGGAUGCAUGGAAGAACUGCGGCUCCUCGGAGCAAACAGCCUGUGUGGGGAGGGGGGGCAAGGUCUGUCCAACCACUCUGUUUACAGAAAGUCAAAAUAACUGGGGCUUCUAGCCCUGGCCACGAUGGGUUCUUCAAACAAAGCAGCCCCAAACAUAAAUACAUUGUCUUUCACAAAAUGCAUUUGGGCAUAUUUGACAUAUUUCAUAUUCAGAGCAGCUCUUUCAUGUUGUGCCCUGGAGCGCAGGGGGGGCUCAGCUCCUGCACCCCCGUCACUGCUGGGGCUGCUCUGUCUUCCUGA